CUACGGGUUGCUCCAGUAGGGAAUAUUGCGCAAUGGGGGAAACCCUGACGCAGCGACGUCAUGUGAAGGAUGAAGGUCUUAGGAUUGUAAACUUCUGUCUAGAGGAAAGAAUUUUUGACGGUACCUCUAAAGAAAGCACCGGCUAACUCUGUGCCAGCAGCCGCGGUAAUACAGAGGGUGCGAGCGUUAUUCGGAAUUACUAGGUGUAAAGGGCGUGUAGGUGGUUUGAUAAGUUAGAUGUGAAAUCCCAUGGCUCAACCGUGGAAUUGCAUUUAAAACUGUUAGACUUGAGUAUGGAAGGGGAAAACGGAAUUUCUGGUGUAGCGGUGGAAUGUGUAGAUACCAGAAGGAAUACCGAUGGCGAAAGCGGUUUUCUAUUCCAAUACUGACACUAAGGCGCGAAAGCUAGGGGAGCAAACAGGAUUAGAUACCCUCGUAGUC
rnacentral:rRNA from 1 species